GAUGAAGAACGCAGCGAAAUGCGAUAAGUAGUGUGAAUUGCAGAAUUCAGUGAAUCAUCGAAUCUUUGAACGCACAUUGCGCCCCUUGGUAUUCCAUGGGGCAUGCCUGUUCGAGCGUCAUUUGUACCCUCAAGCUUUGCUUGGUGUUGGGCGUCUUGUCGUAUUACGACUCGCCUUAAAUACAUUGGCAGCCGGCACUUUGGCCUAGGAGCGCAGCACAUUUUGCGAUCGUAGCCCGUUGUACUGGCGUCCAUCAAGAACAUUUACCACGUUUGACCGCGGAUCAGGUAGGGAUACCCGCUGAACUUAAGCAUAUCAAUAAGCGGAGGA
rnacentral:misc_RNA from 1 species